CAGUCGCCGCGGGAAUACGUAGGGUGCAAGCGUUAAUCGGAAUUACUGGGCGUAAAGCGUGCGCAGGCGGUUCGCUAAGACAGAUGUGAAAUCCCCGGGCUUAAUCUGGGAACUGCAUUUGUGACUGGCGGGCUAGAGUAUGGCAGAGGGGUGUAGAAUUCCACGUGUAGCAGUGAAAUGCGUAGAGAUGUGGAGGAAUACCGAUGGCGAAGGCAGCCCCCUGGGCCAAUACUGACGCUCAUGCACGAAAGCGUGGGGAGCAAACAGGAUUAGAUACCCCCGUAGUCCCUGUCUCUUAUAC
rnacentral:rRNA from 1 species